rnacentral:rRNA from 1 species
CAGCAGUAGCCACGGUAAAACGUAGGGUGCAAGCGUUGUCCGGAAUUAUUGGGCGUAAAGAGCUCGUAGGCGGUUUGUCGCGUCUGCUGUGAAAUCUGGGGGCUCAACCCCCAGCCUGCAGUGGGUACGGGCAGACUAGAGUGCGGUAGGGGAGAUUGGAAUUCCUGGUGUAGCGGUGGAAUGCGCAGAUAUCAGGAGGAACACCGAUGGCGAAGGCAGAUCUCUGGGCCGUAACUGACGCUGAGGAGCGAAAGCAUGGGGAGCGAACAGGAUUAGAUACCCCCGUAGUCCCUGUCUCUUAUAU